AUUGAACGCUGGCGGCAGGCCUAACACAUGCAAGUCGAGCGGGGUGAUGGUGCUUGCACUAUCACUUAGCGGCGGACGGGUGAGUAAUGCUUAGGAAUCUGCCUAUUAGUGGGGGACAACAUCUCGAAAGGGAUGCUAAUACCGCAUACGUCCUACGGGAGAAAGCAGGGGAUCACUUGUGACCUUGCGCUAAUAGAUGAGCCUAAGUCGGAUUAGCUAGUUGGUGGGGUAAAGGCCUACCAAGGCGACGAUCUGUAGCGGGUCUGAGAGGAUGAUCCGCCACGCUGGGACUGAGAGACGGCCCAGACUCCUACGGGAAGCAGCAGUGGGGAAUAUUGGACAAUGGGGGGAACCCUGAUCCAGCCAUGCCGCGUGUGUGAAGAAGGCCUUAUGGUUGUAAAGCACUUUAAGCGAGGAGGAGGCUCUUUUGGUUAAUACCCAAGAUGAGUGGACGUUACUCGCAGAAUAAGCACCGGCUAACUCUGUGCCAGCAGCCGCGGUAA
rnacentral:rRNA from 1 species